CCGUGGAGGGAAGGAGCAGCACCCGGGGCUUCUGUGUUCCAGGCCUUUGCUGAACACAGUCUCGUUGAAUCCUCCCAGUGCUGCAAAGACAGGACUCAGUGCCAAUUCACAGAGGAGGAAAUGGAGGCUCAGAGAAUUAAUCAUCCACCUGAGCUCACACAACAGGUGAGUGGCAGGGUUAGGACCGGGGGCCAGGUGGCCAGACUUUGGAGCCCAAGCUCCUCUGCAUGACGUGCCCCUGACGUGGUCUUGUCUUAGGGACUCAAAGCCUCACCAAGACUCCAAGCAUCGCUCUGGAGACUAUCAGACUCCAGGGGCCCAGCACAGAGCCAGGUCUGAACCAAGUCCUCUCGGCUGGAACCCCUGUUCUGCCCAGUUCAGGCAUCAGGAAGAGUCAUCAUCCUGUGAGACUAACAACAACAACAGGGGAGCCUUCGCACGGCUCUGCAUGUGAUCGAGACCCACCACGUGCCAGGCCGCUGGGGCAUCUGUCCGCUGCCCCAUGAGGACUUGAUACACAUGCUGUUCAGUCUUCACACAAACCCAUGCACUCUGUCCCUCACAGGCUGAACAGUGACCUGGCAUCUGGGCGGCAAGGACGAUGACUCCUGGGAGACAACAGUGUCAGAGGUGCCCAGGAGAGGGAGGCCUGAGGGGGACAGGACCUCAUGGUGGUGGCUGCAGAGAGAAUUAGCCCCAGCUCCUGCUCACCCGGGGUCCCUUGGCCCAGGAGCCCCGUGUGGGAGAGGCCUCGUGUGUGCCACGUCACACUCUGGGAGGCUGAGUAACUUGCCCAAGGUCGGGCAUCUGAGGAGUGACAGCUUGGACCUGGACCCCAAGCCUGCGGUCUUACCACCUCACCACAGUGCUCAUCCCCUGG
rnacentral:lncRNA from 1 species